GAUGAAGACGUAGCGAAAUGCGAUAAGUAAUGUGAAUUGCAGAAUUCAGUGAAUCAUCGAAUCUUUGAACGCACAUUGCGCCCGCCAGUAUUCUGGCGAGCAUGCCUGUUCGAGCGUCAUUUCAACCAUCAAGCCCCAGGCUUGUGUUGGAGCCCUGCGGCUGCCGCAGCCUCCCAAAACCAGUGGCGGGCUCGCUAUCACACCGAGUGCAGUAGUUUACUCUUCGCUCAGGGCGUGUGGCGGGUGCUAGCCGUGAAACCCCCAACUUCUCAAGGUUGACCUCGGAUCAGGUAGGAAUACCCGCUGAACUUAAGCAUAUCAAUAAGCGGAGGA
rnacentral:misc_RNA from 1 species